UGUUUCAUGGCGCAAUUGGUUAGCGCGUCUGACUGUUAAUCAGGAGGUUGACAGUUCGAUCCUGUCUGAGACCG
rnacentral:tRNA from 1 species